UACGUAGGGGGCAAGCGUUGUCCGGAAUCAUUGGGCGUAAAGAGCGUGUAGGCGGUUCGGUAAGUCCGCUGUAAAAGUCCAGGGCUCAACCCUGGAAAGCCGGUGGAAACUGUCGAACUAGAGUCCGGAAGAGGCGAGUGGAAUUCCUGGUGUAGCGGUGAAAUGCGCAGAUAUCAGGAAGAACACCCGUGGCGAAAGCGGCUCUCUGGAACGGUACUGACGCUGAGACGCGAAAGCGUGGGGAGCGAACAGG
rnacentral:rRNA from 1 species